rnacentral:rRNA from 1 species
GACGAACGCUGGCGGCGUGCUUAACACAUGCAACUAGAACGGAAAAGAACUGCAUUAGAGGGAUGCAAGAGUGAAGAACGGAUGAGUAACAAAUGAAACACCUGAACUUGACUUUAGGAUAACUUCACGAAACUGGGGCUAAUACCGGAUAGGAGCUCCUGCUGCAUGGUGGGGGUUGGAAAGUUUCGGCGGUUGGGGAUGGACUCGCGGCUUAUCAGCUUGUUGGUGGGGUAGUGGCUUACCAAGGCUUUGACGGGUAGCCGGCCUGAGAGGGUGACCGGCCACAUUGGGACUGAGAUACGGCCCAGACUCCUACGGGAGGCAGCAGUGGGGAAUAUUGCACAAUGGGCGGAAGCCUGAUGCAGCAACGCCGCGUGCGGGAUGACGGCCUUCGGGUUGUUAACCGCUUUCGCCUGUGACGAAGCGUGAGUGACGGUAAUGGGUAAAGAAGCACCGGCUAACUACGUG